UGGCUGGACAAGCUGUCUACUCUCUGGUCUAUUCUUAAAUAGGCAUGUUGGUCUUUUCUAACAUAACCAGCCUGCCAUUUCUAUUACUCGCAGAACAUUUCACUUUCUGUCAAUAAGCAUUUAUCUCUAUUCUAACUUGGUGUAAAGUAGCCUUGAUGAUGUGUGGAGGCGGUCUGCUCAGUGUAAGAACAAAUAGUUGGUGGCUCCCAUUUUUAUCUCAUUUCGUAAAUCAGUGACUAUUAGUAAGGUUGAUCAUCGGCAAGUGAAAGUGCUUCGUGGAUGCUUGCACGACCAAGCCCUUCAAGCUCCCAGAGUGCAAACACCAUGAGAUAGGGAUGUGAAACUGAAGGAAAGAAGGCCCUGACCACUCUCAUCAUUUACUCAAAUAAUAACACUUAUCGGCGAUAGGAACGACAAGUUGACGCAGGGACAGCUUUUGGGAGUUGGUCCAAACUUAAUGCAUUCAUGGGAUCACCAAUUUUUGGCGAUGGUUGAGAUUGGAUCGUUUCUUGGUGGCUGCUAAUGAAUCAUGUAAGGAUGGUGCAGAAUUCAUCAGAGGAAAAAGACCGAACUACGGAGUUUCCCCAUUGUUAGAGCUCUUGGUGCCCGGACAAGCCCUCUAUCUCGAUUCUCCCUUCGCAGCUCAGCUCCACCGACCAGAAGGCGAUGGCUGACGAAGAGCUCGAUGUCCAUGGCUCGUCAGGUUCCGCUGGCUCCACUAACAACCGUCUACGGGCG